AAUCAACGCUGGCGGCGUGCCUCAGACAUGCAAGUCGAACGAGAACCUCCCUUCGGGGAGGGGACAGUGGCGCACGGGUGAGUAACACGUGGGUAAUCUACCUUUGAGUGGGGAAUAACGUUCGGAAACGGACGCUAAUACCGCAUAAUGCAGCGGCAUCGCAAGAUGACAGUUGUUAAAGGAGCAAUCCGCUUAAAGAGGAGCUUGCGGCAGAUUAGCUUGUUGGUAAGGAACGGCUUACCAAGGCUACGAUCUGUAUCCGGUCUAAGAGGACGGUCGGACACACUGACACUGAAUAACGGGUCAGACUCCUACGGGAGGCAGCAGUCGGGAAUUUUGGGCAAUGGGCGAAAGCCUGACCCAGCAACGCCGCGUGAAGGAUGAAGUAUUUCGGUAUGUAAACUUCGAAAGAAUAAGGAAG
rnacentral:rRNA from 1 species